CUCCAAACAAAUUUGUACAGACUGUGGCAAUUUUAGCAGUACUCUAUUCUAUUCACAACUAAUGUGAGCGUGGCAUGACAUUAAUUUGUGUUUAUUUGUACAUAAUUUAAAAUACCAAAGUUUUUGCAUUUACUUGUAAUGAUAGACUCGUUCAACCUUUUUUUAUUCCACAUGCAUGCUCUUUUUUUUAAAGAUGAGACCAGCAAGCAAAAGCUCCCAGAAACAAACAAGUGUAACUUGUAGCAGAACGGGGAAAUGUGUGCAAUUUAUCUAAGGAACUCGUGCAGAUGCAAAAAGAUAUUUAAGAUGAACAUGAGAACACUGUACCUACAGAAGGGUUGCCCCAGGAGCCAGCUAGCAGCAUGGGGGUGGAAGCUCCACAUGUUAAACACAGUCUGCAGCUAUGUUGCUCCCAGACCCUUUGACACUGCUGCUGGGUGACAGAGAAACAAGCCUUCAUCAGAUGACAAGUAGUCUGCAGGCUGUAGAACUAGUGAAGGGAAACUCCCCUACAAAAAUCAAGGUAUCUACAAUCAUACUCAGAUGUGAUGUUUAUGAUACAGUUUUAUCCUUAGACUUAAGGCGUAUUCUACAAAGGAAGGGUAAGUUAUUUCAGCUUCUCCUUUCCAUGUAGGUGACAGCAAGGUUCUAUACGUUGUAUAGAAAUGCAAUUAAAGAGUGCCCCUCUAUGUCUUUACAAGAAGACAACCUCCUUUUCAGUUCAGAAUGUAGUUCCAUUCACAAACAGCUAACCUCAGUUAAAAUAAGUAUAAUUUUGUCUUCACAAUUUAUUUGUUAAAAAGUUAAUAAAGGGAAUAUGAGCUUUGAAUUUGAAAAUUCA
ensembl:lncRNA